GGACGGGUGAGUAACACGUGGGUAACCUGCCUGUAAGACUGGGAUAACUCCGGGAAACCGGGGCUAAUACCGGAUGCUUGAUUGAACCGCAUGGUUCAAUCAUAAAAGGUGGCUUUUAGCUACCACUUACAGAUGGACCCGCGGCGCAUUAGCUAGUUGGUGAGGUAACGGCUCACCAAGGCGACGAUGCGUAGCCGACCUGAGAGGGUGAUCGGCCACACUGGGACUGAGACACGGCCCAGACUCCUACGGGAGGCAGCAGUAGGGAAUCUUCCGCAAUGGACGAAAGUCUGACGGAGCAACGCCGCGUGAGUGAUGAAGGUUUUCGGAUCGUAAAACUCUGUUGUUAGGGAAGAACAAGUACCGUUCGAAUAGGGCGGCACCUUGACGGUACCUAACCAGAAAGCCACGGCUAACUACGUGCCAGCAGCCGCGGUAAUACGUAGGUGGCAAGCGUUGUCCGGAAUUAUUGGGCGUAAAGCGCGCGCAGGCGGUUUCUUAAGUCUGAUGUGAAAGCCCCCGGCUCAACCGGGGAGGGUCAUUGGAAACUGGGGAACUUGAGUGC
rnacentral:rRNA from 1 species